rnacentral:rRNA from 1 species
GAUGAACGCUGGCGGCGUGCCUAAUACAUGCAAGUCGAGCGAAGCGGGGGCGGGUGAGUAACACGUGGGUAACCUCCUAUAAGACUGGGAUAAAUUCGGGAAACCGGAGCUAAAACGGCUUCUGAUAGAUGGAUCUAUGGUGCAUUAGCUAGUUGGUAAGGUAACGGCUUACCAAGGCAACGAUCCAUAGCCGACCUGAGAGGGUGAUCGGCCACACUGGAACUGAGACACGGUCCAGACUCCUACGGGAGGCAGCAGUGGGGAAUCUUCCGCAAUGGGCGAAAGCCUGACGGAGCAACGCCGCGUGAGUGAUGAAGGUCUUCGGAUUGUAAAACUCUGUUAUUAGGGAAGCGGUACCUAAUCAGAAAGCCCCGGCUAACUACGUGCCAGCAGCCGCGGUAAUAC